rnacentral:rRNA from 1 species
CACGUAGGGGGCGAGCGUUGUCCGGAAUCAUUGGGCGUAAAGAGCUCGUAGGCGGCUCGGUAAGUCGGGUGUGAAACCCCCAGGCUCAACCUGGGGACGCCACCCGAUACUGCUGUGGCUAGAGUCCAGUAGGGGAGUGUGGAAUUCCCGGUGUGAGCGGUGAAAUGCGCAGAUAUCGGGAGGAACACCAGCGGCGAAGGCGGCACUCUGGGCUGGAACUGACGCUGAGGAGCGAAAGCGUGGGUAGCGAACAGG